UCCAAUCGAACCCGGAGAUAGCUGGUUCUCCUCGAAAUAGCUUUAGGGCUAGCCUCGCAUUAGUUUACCGGAGGUAGAGCACUGAAUGGUCUAGGGGGCCUCACCGCCUACCGAAACCUAUCAAACUGCGAAUGCCGGAUAAAUGAUGUGCGGGAGUCAGGCCGCGAGAGAUAAGUUCCGCGGUCAAAAGGGGAACACCCCAGAUCGUCUGCUAAGGUCCCUAAGUACGCGUUAAGUGGGAAAGGAUGUUGGAUUGCACAGACAACCAGGAUGUUGGCUUAGAAGCAGCCACACAUUCAAAGAGUGCGUAAUAGCUCACUGGUCGAGUGAUCCAGCGCCGAAAAUGUAACGGGGCUAAAACGCGACACCGAAGCAGCGGGAUGCGUAAGCAUCGGUAGAGGAGCAUUGUGUGAGGGUUGAAGCCAGAGCGGGAGCACUGGUGGACUUCACAGAAGAGAGAAUGCCGGUAUGAGUAGCGAGACCCAUGCGAGAAACAUGGGCGUCGAAGGCCCAAGGUUUCCUGGGGAAGGUUCAUCCACCCAGGGUAAGUCGGGACCUAAGCCGAGGACUGAGGUCGUAGGCGAUGGACAGCAGGUAGAGAUUCCUGCACCACUUACACUUGUUUGACGAAGCAGUGACACAGAAGGAUAGGACGAGCGCGGUGAUGGUCAACCGCGUAGGCGGCACGAGGCCGGGAAGCAGUGAAGUACACUUCCCGCAAAGGCUGAGUGUUGACAGGACCGAAAAGAAGUAGGGAAGCGUCUGAGUUCACGCUGGCGAGAAAAGCUGCUAAGGAGAGUGUGAGUGCCCGUACCGGAAACCGACGCAGGUGGGCGAGGAGAGAAUCCUGAGACGGACGGGAGAACUCUUGUUAAGGAACUCGGCAAAAUGACCCCGUAACUUCGGGAGAAGGGGUGCCUCGAAAGAGGCCGCAGAGAAUAGUCACAAGCGACUGUUUAGCAAAAACACAGGUAUCUGCGAAAGCGAGAGCUGACGUAUAGGUGCUGACGCCUGCCCGGUGCUGGAAGGUUAAGGGGAAGUGUUAGGGGAAACCCGAAGCAGAGAACCGAAGCCCCAGUAAACGGCGGCCGUAACUAUAACGGUCCUAAGGUAGCGAAAUUCCUUGUCGGGUAAGUUCCGACCCGCACGAA
rnacentral:rRNA from 1 species